rnacentral:lncRNA from 1 species
UUAGAAGCUGCCGGAUCCUGGAAGGACUCAGGAGCCCUUGGCCCACAGAGCAGGCCAUGCGGACCCUCAGUUGGAAGCACACCCUGGGCCUGGUGACCAUGGAUGUGGAGCUGGCCGACCGCACGCUGUCUGUGGCGGUCACCCCGGUACAGGCGGUGAUCUUGCUGUAUUUUCAGGACCAAGCCUGUGCCCAGGCUGCCCAGCGUCCCGGUGACUCUGCACGCAGCCAGCUGGACCCUGGAGGAACUGAGCAAGGCGGUGAAGAUGCCCGUGGCGCUGCUGCGGCGGCGGAUGUCCGUGUGGCUGCAGCAGGGUGUGCUGCGUGAGGAGCCCCCCGGCACCUUCUCUGUCAUUGAGGAGGAGCGGCCUCAGGACCGGGACAACAUGGUGCUCAUCGACAGUGACGACGAGAGCGACUCCCGCAUGGCCUCCCAGGCCGACCAGAAGGAGGAAGAGCUGCU